AGCGGCGGACGGGUGAGUAAUGCUUGGGAAUAUGCCUUAUGGUGGGGGACAACAGUUGGAAACGACUGCUAAUACCGCAUAAUGUCUACGGACCAAAGUGGGGGACCUUCGGGCCUCACGCCAUAAGAUUAGCCCAAGUGGGAUUAGCUAGUUGGUGAGGUAAUGGCUCACCAAGGCGACGAUCCCUAGCUGGUUUGAGAGGAUGAUCAGCCACACUGGGACUGGGACACGGCCCAGACUCCUACGGGAGGCAGCAGUGGGGAAUAUUGCACAAUGGGCGCAAGCCUGAUGCAGCCAUGCCGCGUGUGUGAAGAAGGCCUUCGGGUUGUAAAGCACUUUCAGUAAGGAGGAAAGGUUAAGUGUUAAUAGCACUUAGCUGUGACGUUACUUACAGAAGAAGCACCGGCUAACUCCGUGCCAGCAGCCGCGGUAAUACGGAGGGUGCGAGCGU
rnacentral:rRNA from 1 species